GCAAUAGCAUUGAGUGUCCACUCUGUACUAGUACUUUAUUUACUGUAUGGCAACUGUAUUGCGCGUGAUGUGUUGUUUUAGUUCUUUUGUAUGAGUAAAUUGAGAAGAUAUUAAAGAAAAUAGAAAACAGGUGCAUCAGUGAUUAAAUGAUGGCUGGCACGAGGCCCCCAGCUUUCCCGGCUGAGAAGUGAAGAGGAUGAGUGACACGUUGGUGAGCGAUGGCGGGCGACGAGAGACGGUGACACGAACCGGCGGACGAGUGAGUGAUGCGAGGCAGUGUGUUGGUACUGAGGCACGAGGUAUCAGGCACGAACAGUAGAGAGAGACACUGUCGAGCCGAGCUCCAGUGGGGAGAGAAAAUAGUGGACUUGCGAAAUUGUGAUUAAUUUGUGGACAGAUAUGUGAAGUAUUGUUAUUUAGGGG